rnacentral:rRNA from 1 species
CAUCAGGGAUGGAGGACUCUGACCGCGACGCCGCGUGCGGGAUGAAGGCCUUCGGGUUGUAAACCGCUUUCAGCAAGGAAGAAGCGAAAGUGACGGUACUUGCAGAAGAAGCACCGGCUAACUAUGUGCCAGCAGCCGCGGUAAUACAUAGGGUGCAAGCGUUGUCCGGAAUUAUUGGGCGUAAAGAGCUCGUAGGUGGUUCGUCACGUCGGAUGUGAAAAUCUGGGGCUUAACCCCAGACCUGCAUUCGAUACGGGCGAGCUAGAGUGUGGUAGGGGAGACUGGAAUUCCUGGUGUAGCGGUGGAAUGCGCAGAUAUCAGGAGGAACACCAAUGGCGAAGGCAGGUCUCUGGGCCAUUACUGACACUGAGGAGCGAAA